AAUUUCAGCGCUGACACCCGUUGUUGCAAAUGGGUUGCAAGCCCCAAGGGUAGCGUUGGCCUGGCGGCCUGGGGCACAACUGGAAGCAUCCGAAGGUCCCGGCAAAGCAUGAGUCGACUGGUAACAGAACAACUUGUUUAUUCUAGCAUCGCAAAAGAGCGGGCGGUCAGGGCGACCGAAGUGGAGAGACGGGAGAGCACGUAACUCAACAGAAGAAAUCGGAGCCUCUCUCGGCGUCCGGGAGCAG
rnacentral:lncRNA from 1 species